rnacentral:rRNA from 1 species
UACGAAGGGAGCUAGCGUUGUUCGGAAUCACUGGGCGUAAAGCGCACGUAGGCGGAUGUGUCAGUCAGGGUGAAAUCCUGGAGCUCAACUCCAGAACUGCCUUCGAUACUGGCGAUCUCGAGUUCGGGAGAGGUGAGUGGAACUGCGAGUGUAGAGGUGAAAUUCGUAGAUAUUCGCAAGAACACCAGUGGCGAAGGCGGCUCACUGGCCCGAUACUGACGCUGAGGUGCGAAAGCGUGGGGAGCAAACAGG